UACGUAGGGGGCGAGCGUUGUCUGGAAUUAUUGGGCGUAAAGAGCUCGUAGGCGGCUUAGUAAGUCGGCGGUGAAAUACCGAAGCUCAACCUCGGCACUGCCGUCGAUACUGCUAUGGCUAGAGUUUGGUAGAGGAGAACGGUAUUCCCGGUGUAGCGGUGGAAUGCGCAGAUAUCGGGAGGAACACCCGUAGCGAAGGCGGUUCUCUGGGCCAAUACUGACGCUGAGGAGCGAAAGCGUGGGGAGCAAACAGG
rnacentral:rRNA from 1 species